rnacentral:RNase_P_RNA from 1 species
CGGGAAACUCAGAUGUCCGCUGCGGAGUUUUAUCAAACUUCGUGGAGGAAAGUCCGGACACCAUAGGGCGGGAUACUUCCUAACGGGAAGCUGCAGUGAUGCAGAGCCAGCUCCACAGAAAUAAACCGCCGGACGCCGUUAUCGUUUUUUGGGAUAUUGUCCGUGUGAGACCACAACUUUGGAAAGAAGAUCGAUGGCGUCCCGGCAAGGGUGAAAUGGCGGUGUAAGAGACCACCGGUAUCUCCGGUGACGGAGAUAGCCAGGAAUGCCUUAUCCGGUGCAAUGCCAAAUAGGAAAGCUCAGCGCUGCCCGCGCGAUCAUGCUUUCGGGUAGGCAGCUCGAGCCUGUUUGUGAAAACAGGCCCAGAUGGAUGGACAUCAGCCUUUGCUUGCAAAGGUUACAGAAUCCGGCUUACGAGUAUCCCGAGGG